rnacentral:rRNA from 1 species
AAAAACAUAACCUUUAGCCAAACAAAUAUUAAAGGCAACGCCUGCCCAGUGAAUAAUUAAACGGCCGCGGUACCCUAACCGUGCAAAGGUAGCGUAAUCAUUUGUCUAUUAAUUGUAGACCAGUAUGAAAGGCACAAUGAGGGUCUGUCUGUCUCUUAUAAUAAAUCAAUUAAACUGAUCUCCUAGUAAAAAAGCUAGAAUUCACACACAAGACCAGAAGACCCUGUGAAGCUUAAACUAAACUAUUAAACCCUAUAAUACUUACUUUCGGUUGGGGCGACCUUGGAAAAAAAAAGAACUUCCAAACAAUGACCAUAACUCACACCCCUCAGGCCUACAGGCCUCUCACAUGACCCAGUACAACUGAUUAUUGAACCAAGUUACUCCAGGGAUAACAGCGCCAUCUUCUUUAAGAGUCCAUAUCAAAAAGAAGGUUUACGACCUCGAUGUUGGAUCAGGACAUCCUAAUGGUGCAGCCGCUAUUAAGGGUUCGUUUGUUCAACGAUUAAUAGUCCUACGUGAU